GAUGAACGCUGGCGGCGUGCCUAAUACAUGCAAGUCGAGCGAACGGACGGGAAGCUUGCUUCUCUGAUGUUAGCGGCGGACGGGUGAGUAACACGUGGAUAACCUACCUAUAAGACUGGGAUAACUUCGGGAAACCGGAGCUAAUACCGGAUGAUAUUUUGAACCGCAUGGUUCAAAAGUGAAAGACGGUCUUGCUGUCACUUAUAGAUGGAUCCGCGCUGCAUUAGCUAGUUGGUAAGGUAACGGCUUACCAAGGCAACGAUGCAUAGCCGACCUGAGAGGGUGAUCGGCCACACUGGAACUGAGACACGGUCCAGACUCCUACGGGAGGCAGCAGUAGGGAAUCUUCCGCAAAGGGCGAAAGCCUGACGGAGCAACGCCGCGUGAGUGAUGAAGGUCUUCGGAUCGUAAAACUCUGUUAUUAGGGAAGAACAUAUGUGUAAGUAACUGUGCACAUCUUGACGGUACCUAAUCAGAAAGCCACGGCUAACUACGUG
rnacentral:rRNA from 1 species